UGUGUAGGUGGCGCGCUAAGUCGGGUGUGAAAUUUCGGAGCUUAACUCCGAAACUGCAUUCGAUACUGGCGUGCUUGAGGACUGGAGAGGAGACUGGAAUUUACGGUGUAGCAGUGAAAUGCGUAGAUAUCGUAAGGAAGACCAGUGGCGAAGGCGGGUCUCUGGACAGCUCCUGACACUGAGACACGAAGGCCAGGGGAGCAAACG
rnacentral:rRNA from 1 species